rnacentral:lncRNA from 1 species
CCAUUGUAACAACAUACUCGAUGAAAUCUCAAUCCAACCCUUAACUCUACCUCAUAGAGAUAAAGAGAUUGUUUCCUAUAGACCCUUGGCUCCUUGCCCCUCCCCCUACUCACCCAAAGUAAGGUCCAAUUGACCUUCUCUUUCCCAAAGAAGGUGUUGGACCUCUAGGAUUAUUUCCUUGCGUUUAACCCCUUUCUCAUUCAGGAUGGAAGUUUGAAAAAGGUGAGAUUG